UACAGAGGGUGCUAGCGUUAAUCGGAUUUACUGGGCGUAAAGCGUGUGUAGGCGGUUAGUUAAGUCGGAUGUGAAAGCCCCGGGCUCAACCUGGGAAUCGCAUUCGAUACUGGCUAGCUAGAGUACGGUAGAGGGUGGCGGAAUUCCGGGAGUAGCGGUGAAAUGCGUAGAUAUCCGGAGGAACACCGAUGGCGAAGGCAACCACCUGGGCCUGUACUGACGCUGAGACACGAAAGCGUGGGGAGCAAACAGG
rnacentral:rRNA from 1 species